UGGUCAUAUACCAAGGCUUUUGGGAUAUUCGGUUCCUGACUUGCCAUGGAAUUGACCAUAAAGUAAACCUUGUUCCAUUCCAGUGGGUCCCCAGCGCCAUACUGGGGUGAUCUAUUGGGAACAUCA
rnacentral:snoRNA from 1 species